rnacentral:rRNA from 1 species
GACGAACGCUGGCGGCGUGCUUAACACAUGCAAGUCGAACGGUGAUGCUCCAGCUUGCUGGAGUGGAUCAGUGGCGAACGGGUGAGUAACACGUGAGCAACCUGCCCCAGACUCUGGAAUAAGCGCUGGAAACGGCGUCUAAUACUGGAUACGAAACUGGCCCGCAUGGGCAUGGUUUGGAAAGUUUUUCGGUUUGGGAUGGGCUCGCGGCCUAUCAGCUUGUUGGUGAGGUAAUGGCUCACCAAGGCGACGACGGGUAGCCGGCCUGAGAGGGCGACCGGCCACACUGGGACUGAGACACGGCCCAGACUCCUACGGGAGGCAGCAGUGGGGAAUAUUGCACAAUGGGCGCAAGCCUGAUGCAGCGACGCCGCGUGAGGGAUGACGGCCUUCGGGUUGUAAACCUCUUUCAGCAGGGAAGAAGCGAAAGUGACGGUACCUGCAGAAGAAGCACCGGCUAACUACGUG